rnacentral:lncRNA from 1 species
AGUUAUUCUUAAAUAAUUUAUUCCGACAUCCAAACAGUACCUUAAUGAGUACCUUAUUCUGACAUCCAAAUUGACCUCUAAAAUUUUUGAUAAAAAUAUAUAGAGCUUACCUAAACUAUGAACCAUUUUGAGUCAUUCAAAAUUUUAAUUUUAUUAUCUAACCCUUCAAUUUGUCUGAUUUAAGUCAGUCAAUAAUAAUUUGACUUCAAAAUUUGAAUCCAUUAUUUAUCUUUAUAAUUCUAGCUACUAUACUUCAUACAAUUUUUGCAGCUAUAAAUUCAUAAAAGUAAGCAAUUAGCUUAAAUCUUUAAGUUAAGGUGCCGUUGACAAAUUCAAAUCAAACAAAUUGAAACGCUGAUAAGUAAAAUCAAAAUUUUGAAACAUUGAGUAGUCAAUUUAAAUUGGUUCAUAGUUCAGAUAAGUUCUGUCUUUUUCUCUUCUUUUUUUUUUUAUCUUUUCUCCUAACAAAUUU